CAGCAUGUUUCCAACUGCUGUGGCUGUUUAUGGUCAUGAGAUCUCCAACUGCAUGCUAGAGAAACCUGAAGAGACUUUGACAGCUCAGGUCAACACAGCACUUGUGGCUGCCACUUGCCUUUCCUAUAAAG
ensembl:snoRNA